GAAGAAACUCGUCCAGUUUUGUAACAAAAUUCAUUCAGUUUUUGUCUUGUUUUGUUCUAAGAAAAAACCCUCAAGUGAAGAGGAGAAGACAAGAGGAAGGAGGAAGAGAGUUGAGGAACAUAUCCCACUCUAUAUUUGGGAAUAGCGAAGACAAGCUGUCACCCUCCAAGAUUAUAUAUUCUAUGCAACAAGCCUUGACGUGACAUACUAAUGUGGUGGGAGUUGGUUGCAUAUCCAUGCCUUGUCUACAAGUUAUUUUGUAAAUUAUAAUUGCUGGCAAAGUGAUUAUGAUAAAUGCAGAUGAGAAGCUCAAUAUGAGAGUCAUGUAA